AUGGGCCCAGCCACCUCCUGUCUCUCUGGGAUGCUCUCCCAGCUUAGUAAGUGAGUCUCUUUUACCAAUGGACUAUGCACUUUUCUAUGUGAUAUAUCUGUGCUGGUUUCCAGAUCAGGCCAGGAAUGCCAGAUAUUGUGGGAUCUCAUCUCUCUUGUGCUGGACCUAAAGGCUUGGAUGUCUAAUGUGAAGCUCAAAUUCCCUGCACCUCUGGGAAAAGAUCCAUACCUUUGAGAUUCUCCUGGACAUGAAGCUCCGUGGCUAGGAAUUACCUCCUCAAGUGGUUCAACUGCCAACUCAAAUUGUUUUGGAAAAUGUAACAACUUUUCAGCGACAAGGAUCAUCAAACUUUCUGUUUAAG